AAUGGGUUUUGUACAUAGGUGUGAAUGUCUGUGUGAAAGUGUGAAUGUGAAAGUAUUUUCGGCGGCACGAUCCCCGCUCGCUCCGAGGCCUAUAAAAGGACCCGCACGGCCAGUAUGAGCUCACUAGCAGAAGCGCAACUUAAGCGCCAGUGCAACUAAAGCGCCUAGUCCCUGCUCCUGAGCAACUUAUGCCUUGAGCAGCUAAAAGACUUAGAAUAUUUUCAAAUAUUUCUACACUUAUAAUAAUUUCGAGUCAGGCACGAUAUCGCAUCAUAAAGCGUAUCAGUCCUAGACUUAGAAAAAUUCUAAUUCUUGUCUAAAAAUCUCUUCUUCUAACAAUACGAUUCAAAUCAGAUUACGCAACUUAAACGCGUAUCUGUUUAUCUUCGUUUGUAAAAAUCAAAGCGGAUUUACCCAUUUAAUUUUUGUGCUACUUAGAAUAUAUGCAAGAUAUACGCAAUAUUUUAUUAUUUAUUUAUUUGAAUAUAAUUAUUUUCGUUAUAAAGAACAAAAAUCUCUUUAUUGCGAUAAACCUCCACUACCUUGUAUCCCGGACCUGAACUAUCAUAAUUGAGAAUUAUUAUAAAAAUUUAAUCUGUUGUCAGAAUCACGACGCAGAUUAGUAAAUGUUCGCGACUUUUCAGAUAAUAAAAUCAAUAGAUUUCGUAUUCUUACAUAAAUUUAAUUACUACAGGACCGAGAUAAGUCGUGACCGUUUCACAAGAGACUUUACAGAGUCUUUACAAGAUGCUGAAAAUAGAGCAAUAAACAAAUCUAAAAGAUUAAUAAUCCCAAAUGACCUCAAGCGAGGAUGAACGGAAAAAGAAAGAACCGGAUGCUGUAAACCCUGUUAAACUGAAAAUUUGUAAGAAAGUGUCACAAAAGCGAAACUUCCAACGCAUUAUACAAACCUAUAAGAAUCCGGUAUUAAUAAACAGUCGAUUAGAAUUAGUUAUGGAAGACGAGAGUAAUUCUAACGAUACACUAAAUAAUGCAAACCUAGAUUGUAGUGUUCAAUUGACGGAUUUUCUCAAAGACUAUUCUCAGUGCUCUUAAACUACAGAUAAAAUAAAAGAAACAAAUCCUACGUCUACAAUA
rnacentral:lncRNA from 1 species